UACAUCUCAUGCAGGUCUCUCACUACUGAGAGAGAGAAAGAGUUGUACAUAGGCACAUUUCAUUUUGACAGCGCGGGUGUUUCAUUGCUUCUUACUUAGGCUUCGUUCGUUGGUGCUGGCGGUUUGCGUUGCCAUUACCCGGAAAAGUACAUUUGUAUCUUUCACCCAGUGACUGUUGGCUAAUGCUCGGAAGGAAGGGGCACUUCAGGCUUGGUAGGAGAUGGAGUCCCUGAACUCUUGCCAUUCAUACCAUUGAGGGAACCAAACAUGGACAUUGUCAUUGAAUCAACCGCACCUGAAAGAACCACCACCCAUGCAGUCAGAUACAGGCAUUAAUCUAGUAACUGCUGGCUGCAUGCUGAGGUGACCUUGAGACUGGUCCUAGCAUGGCCCUUAGUAGUCCUAACAGGUCUUCCUGGCAGCUAGGUCUCCCUAACGUACCUCGGGGUAUUCUCAAACAGUGAGUAGCUACGACGGAAAACAAGAACCUAGAGUUAUACAUGCAGAUUGUGCAAUAAUGCUACCAAGAGUCCCAGUGAUGGUGGCAGUUGACCAUGCAACUGAGAAUAUUCUUAAAUGAUGUGCGUGAUGCAAGGGAAUAUAUGUCAAGUAAACAAAAGCAAGCGUGGUGACUUGCCGGCUCCUCUGCACGGCCCAAGUAAAGACCGGUGCCCAAAGCCAAGCAUCAAGGUGCCUUACAAUUUUUAUAUAGUGACUGAAAUAUAGUUUCUGAUAAUUAUAAUAAUAAUUAUAAUAUUCAGUAAGGAU